GGAGAGGAAGUGCGUGCGAGGAACUGGGAGCAAGAGGCGUGCAAGAAGCUGAGAAUGCUUUACUGGAGUUGCUCGGUUCUAACCUCCUCCCUGGCUGCAUGGAAUUACUGCUCCUUGCCCUACUCCGUUUGGUUCUCCCAAGAGUACCAGAAACCCUGUGCAACUUCAAUCAAAAGCAACAAGACAAAAAAGAUUUACUACAAAAAAGAAGCCAUUGUUCCCUUCUUCUAUAUUCCAGUCUGGAGUGGAGUGCUCAGUGGAAACAGAAAAGGACCUUAUU